GGGGCCGAUUUGGAUUCGACGCCGGUAACAAAGCUCUGUGGUGCAUGCCGUGAUGGCAGCCAAUCACGUUAAUCCAAAGCUGUAAACGAUAUAGUUGCCAACGACGACAACUACGCUCUAGCGGCUUAAACCCCUGCUAGCGGUCAUAAGUGGAUGCUUGUAAACACGAAGUGACCGUCAUAUAGAACAAGCUAGCGAUGAAGUUUGUCUGAGACGGACUCGCGAAACUCCUAAUCAGAAUCGCCAAUAUCGUCCUGACCGUUGGGCUGAUUGCGGCUAAAUUAAUUAACGGAAACUAAGCAUGUAGAGCCCUGAGUGGCGGACUGGCGGACGCGGGUUCAAAUCCCGCCGGCUCCACCA
rnacentral:tmRNA from 1 species